rnacentral:rRNA from 1 species
UACGUAGGGUGCGAGCGUUGUCCGGAAUUAUUGGGCGUAAAGGGCUCGUAGGCGGUUUGUCACGUCGGGAGUGAAAACUCAGGGCUUAACCCUGAGCCUGCUUCCGAUACGGGCAGACUAGAGGUAUGCAGGGGAGAACGGAAUUCCUGGUGUAGCGGUGAAAUGCGUAGAGAUCCGGAGGAACCCCAGAGGCGAAGGCGGCGCUCUGGCUCGCAACUGACGCUCAGACACGACAGCAUGGGGAGCGAACGGG